rnacentral:rRNA from 1 species
AUGGCCAUUCUGGUGACAAUGGUUGUACUCCAGCUCUUAUCAUCGAGUUUCCUUGGCAAGUUAACUUCAACAAUCAUGUUAAGCUGGCAGCUAUGGUUGGUACUGAUGUUAGUUGCUCGUUUAGGUGCUGAUGGUCCAAGAAUUGUAAAGAUAAGGCGGGGGAACCUUAUUUGUGUGGUGGAUGCAAUUAUGUUAUGA